rnacentral:rRNA from 1 species
UGGGGAAUAUUGGACAAUGGGCGCAAGCCUGAUCCAGCCAUGCCGCGUGAGUGAUGAAGGCCUUAGGGUUGUAAAGCUCUUUCGCCGACGAAGAUAAUGACGGUAGUCGGAGAAGAAGCCCCGGCUAACUUCGUGCCAGCAGCCGCGGUAAUACGAAGGGGGCUAGCGUUGUUCGGAAUCACUGGGCGUAAAGCGCACGUAGGCGGAUUUGUUAAGUCAGGGGUGAAAGCCUGGAGCUCAACUCCAGAACUGCCCUUGAUACUGGCAAUCUCAGUCCGGAAGAGGUAAGUGGAACUGCGAGUGUAGAGGUGAAAUUCGUAGAUAUUCGCAAGAACACCAGUGGCGAAGGCGGCUUACUGGUCCGGUACUGACGCUGAGGUGCGAAAGCGUGGGGAGCAAAACAGGAUUAGAUACCCUGGUAGUCCACGCCGUAAACGAUGGAGGCUAGCCGUUGGCGAGCAUGCUCGUCAGUGGCGCAGCUAACGCAUUAAGCCUCCCGCCUGGGGAGUACGGUCGCAAGAUUAAAACUCAAAGGAAUUGACGGGGUCAUAGCUG